UACGUAGGGUGCGAGCGUUGUCCGGAAUUAUUGGGCGUAAAGGGCUCGUAGGCGGUUUGUCGCGUCGGGAGUGAAAACCAGGUGCUUAACACCUGGCUUGCUUUCGAUACGGGCAGACUAGAGGUAUGCAGGGGAGAACGGAAUUCCUGGUGUAGCGGUGAAAUGCGCAGAUAUCAGGAAGAACACCAAUGGCGAAGGCAGCUCUCUGGGCCGUAACUGACGAUGAGGAGCGAAAGCAUGGGGAGAGAACAGG
rnacentral:rRNA from 1 species